GACGAACGCUGGCGGCGUGCUUAACACAUGCAAGUCGAACGGAAAGGCCCUGCUUUUGUGGGGUGCUCGAGUGGCGAACGGGUGAGUAACACGUGAGUAACCUGCCCUUGACUUUGGGAUAACUUCAGGAAACUGGGGCUAAUACCGGAUAGGAGCUCCUGCUGCAUGGUGGGGGUGGGAAAGUUUCGGCGGUUGGGGAUGGACUCGCGGCUUAUCAGCUUGUUGGUGGGGUAGUGGCUUACAAAGGCUUUGACGGGUAGCCGGCCUGAGAGGGUGACCGGCCACAUUGGGACUGAGAUACGGCCCAGACUCCUACGGGAGGCAGCAGUGGGGAAUAUUGCACAAUGGGCGGAAGCCUGAUGCAGCAACGCCGCGUGCGGGAUGACGGCCUUCGGGUUGUAAACCGCUUUCGCCUGUGACGAAGCGUGAGUGACGGUAAUGGGUAAAGAAGCACCGGCUAACUACGUG
rnacentral:rRNA from 1 species